UACGAAGGGGGCUAGCGUUGUUCGGAAUUACUGGGCGUAAAGGGCGCGUAGGCGGCCCGCUAAGUCGAACGUGAAAUCCCCGAGCUCAACUCGGGAACUGCGUCCGAUACUGGUGGGCUUGAAUCCGGGAGAGGGAUGCAGAAUUCCAGGGUGUAGCGGUGAAAUGCGUAGAUAUCUGGAGGAAUACCGGUGGCGAAGGCGGCAUCCUGGACCGAGAUUGACACUGAUGAGCGAAAGCUAGGGGAGCGAAACGGGG
rnacentral:rRNA from 1 species